AUUGAACGCUGGCGGCAGGCCUAACACAUGCAAGUCGAACGGUAGCACAGAGAGCUUGCUCUCGGGUGACGAGUGGCGGACGGGUGAGUAACGUCUGGGAAACUGCCCGAUGGAGGGGGAUAACUACUGGAAACGGUAGCUAAUACCGCAUAACGUCGCAAGACCAAAGUGGGGGACCUUCGGGCCUCACACCAUCGGAUGUGCCCAGAAGGGAUUAGCUAGUAGGUGGGGUAAUGGCUCACCUAGGCGACGAUCCCUAGCUGGUCUGAGAGGAUGACCAGCCACACUGGAACUGAGACACGGUCCAGACUCCUACGGGAGGCAGCAGUGGGGAAUAUUGCACAAUGGGCGCAAGCCUGAUGCAGCCAUGCCGCGUGUAUGAAGAAGGCCUUCGGGUUGUAAAGUACUUUCAGCGGGGAGGAAGGCGGUGGAGUUAAUAACUUCAUCGAUUGACGUUACCCGCAGAAGAAGCACCGGCUAACUCCGUGCCAGCAGCCGCAGUAA
rnacentral:rRNA from 1 species